rnacentral:rRNA from 1 species
GAUGAACGCUGGCGGCGUGCCUAAUACAUGCAAGUCGAGCGAACGGACGAGAAGCUUGCUUCUCUGAUGUUAGCGGCGGACGGGUGAGUAACACGUGGAUAACCUACCUAUAAGACUGGGAUAACUUCGGGAAACCGGAGCUAAUACCGGAUAAUAUUUUGAACCGCAUGGUUCAAAAGUGAAAGACGGUCUUGCUGUCACUUAUAGAUGGAUCCGCGCCGCAUUAGCUAGUUGGUAAGGUAACGGCUUACCAAGGCAACGAUGCAUAGCCGACCUGAGAGGGUGAUCGGCCACACUGGAACUGAGACACGGUCCAGACUCCUACGGGAGGCAGCAGUAGGGAAUCUUCCGCAAUGGGCGAAAGCCUGACGGAGCAACGCCGCGUGAGUGAUGAAGGUCUUCGGGUCGUAAAACUCUGUUAUUAGGGAAGAACAUAUGUGUAAGUAACUGUGCACAUCUUGACGGUACCUAAUCAGAAAGCCACGGCUAACUACGUG